AUUGAACGCUGGCGGCAGGCCUAACACAUGCAAGUCGAGCGAGCGGCGGACGGGUGAGUAAUGCCUGGGAAACUGCCUGAUGGAGGGGGAUAACUACUAGAAACGGUAGCUAAUACCGCAUACCUUCGGUAGUGGCCAAAGGGGAUUAGCUAGUAGGUGGGGUAAAGGCUCACCUAGGCGACGAUACCUAGCUGGUCUGAGAGGAUGACCAGCCACACUGGAACUGAGACACGGUCCAGACUCCUACGGGAGGCAGCAGUGGGGAAUAUUGCACAAUGGGCGCAAGCCUGAUGCAGCCAUGCCGCGUGUAUGAAGAAGGCCUUCGGGUUGUAAAGUACUUUCAGCGGGGAGGCGUUACCCGCAGAAGAAGCACCGGCUAACUCCGUGCCAGCAGCCGCGGUAAUUC
rnacentral:rRNA from 1 species